rnacentral:rRNA from 1 species
UGGGUCCAACCUGCCCAGUGAACUUUUAACGGCCGCAGUACCCUGACUGUGCAAAGGUAGCAUAAUAAUUUGUCUUAUAAUUGAAGACUAGAAUGAAUGGUUAAAUGUAAAUAAACCUGUCUCUAUUGCAAAAUUAAAAAUUAAUCUAUUGGUUCAAAAGCCAUCAUUUAAUAAAUAGACGAGAAGACCCUAUUGAGCUUAAUUUUUACUUAUACUUAAUCAAUUUACUUAUAAUGAUAAAAUUUUGUUGGGGCGACAAAGGAUUUUACUUAGCUUCCUUUAGAAUUUUAAUAUUAAAAUUAAAUCGAUCCGUUUAUUACGAUCAAAUAACAAGUUACCAUAGGGAUAACAGCAUAAUUCUUUUUAAGAGCCCAAAUCGAAAAAAGAGUUUGUGACCUCGAUGUUGGACUAAGGUAAUUAUAAAGCGCAGCCGCUUUUUAAAAUAGUCUGUUCGACUAAUAA